rnacentral:rRNA from 1 species
GAUGAACGCUGGCGGCGUGCUUAACACAUGCAAGUCGAACGGAAAGGCUCCUGCUUGCAGGGGUACUCGAGUGGCGAACGGGUGAGUAACACGUGGGUGAUCUGCCCUGCACUUCGGGAUAAGCCUGGGAAACUGGGUCUAAUACCGGAUAGGACCACAUUUUGGAUGGUGUGGUGGAAAGUUUUUCGGUGUGGGUUGAGCUCGCGGCCUAUCAGCUUGUUGGUGGGGUAAUGGCCUACCAAGGCGUCGACGGGUAGCCGGCCUGGGAGGGUGUAGGGCCACAUUGGGCCUGGGAUACGGCCCAGACUCCAACGGGGGGAAGCGGUGGGGAAUAUGGCACAAUGGGCGCAGGCCUGAUGCAGCGACGCCGGGUGGGGGAGGACGGCCUUGGGGUUGUAAACUCCUUUCGCUAGGGACGAAGCGCAAGUGACGGUACCGGGAGAAGAAGCACCGGCUAACUACGU